rnacentral:rRNA from 1 species
GAUGAACGCUGACAGAAUGCUUAACACAUGCAAGUCUUUGGCGAAGCUGUGCUUGCACAGCCUAGCCAAGGCGGACGGGUGAGUAACGCGUAAGGAACUUGCCCUGCAGUCAGGGAUAACAGACGGAAACGACUGAUAAGACCUGGUAAAGUCAGGCGGACUCAUAUCCAGCCUGAUGAAAAGAGAUGCUGCAGGAGAGCCUUGCGUCCUAUUAGCUUGUUGGUGGGGUAACGGCCCACCAAGGCGAUGAUAGGUAGCCGGCCUGAGAGGGUGGACGGCCACAAGGGGACUGAGAUACGGCCCUUACUCCUACGGGAGGCAGCAGUGGGGAAUAUUGGACAAUGGGGGCAACCCUGAUCCAGCAAUUCUGUGUGCACGAUGAAGGUUUUCGGAUUGUAAAGUGCUUUCAGCAGGGAAGAAAAAAAUGACGGUACCUGCAGAAGAAGCGACGGCUAAAUACGUG